rnacentral:rRNA from 1 species
AUAUUGCGCAAUGGAGGAAACUCUGAUGCAGCGACGCCGCGUGAGGGAAGACGGUCUUCGGAUUGUAAACCUCUGUCUUUGGGGAAGAAAAUGACGGUACCCAAAGAGGAAGCUCCGGCUAACUACGUGCCAGCAGCCGCGGUAAUACGUAGGGAGCGAGCGUUGUCCGGAAUUACUGGGUGUAAAGGGAGCGUAGGCGGGCGAGAAAGUUGAAUGUUAAAUCUACCGGCUUAACUGGUAGCUGCGUUCAAAACUUCUUGUCUUGAGUGAAGUAGAGGCAGGCGGAAUUCCUAGUGUAGCGGUGAAAUGCGUAGAUAUUAGGAGGAACACCAGUGGCGAAGGCGGCUCACUGGACUGUAACUGACGUUGAGGCUCGAAAGCGUGGGGAGCAAACAGG